rnacentral:rRNA from 1 species
GACGAACGCUGGCGGCGUGCUUAACACAUGCAAGUCGAACGGAAAGGCCCUGCUUUUGUGGGGUGCUCGAGUGGCGAACGGGUGAGUAACACGUGAGUAACCUGCCCUUGACUUUGGGAUAACUUCAGGAAACUGGGGCUAAUACCGGAUAGGAGCUCCUGCUGCAUGGUGGGGGUUGGAAAGUUUCGGCGGUUGGGGAUGGACUCGCGGCUUAUCAGCUUGUUGGUGGGGUAGUGGCUUACUAAGGCUUUGACGGGUAGCCGGCCUGAGAGGGUGACCGGCCACAUUGGGACUGAGAUACGGCCCAGACUCCUACGGGAGGCAGCAGUGGGGAAUAUUGCACAAUGGGCGGAAGCCUGAUGCAGCAACGCCGCGUGCGGGAUGACGGCCUUCGGGUUAUAAACCGCUUUCGCCUGUGACGAAGCGUGAGUGACGGUAAUGGGUAAAGAAGCACCGGCUAACUACGUG